CCCCUGACAGCACCUGCACGGCCCCAGGAGCCUGAGGGGUGUAAAGGGCUAGAGCUCAAAAAGGCGGAGAGCCGAGACAAGACAGAGCGGUCACAGGAUAAGUCAUCAUCGAACUGUUAGCCUCACCCCAUUGAUCAGUACAUGGAUGUCCAUUAGCAGCAUUCCCAUAAGAGGCACCCCCUGCAGUAGAUGAAGCAAGCGCACGUGUGUUCCACAACAUUCCAGUCUGAACAGCCAGGUCCAUGGACAUGCACUUACAGCCUUCCCUCAUCCCAACUCCAUGUGGCUGACUACUAGCAUGCCUAGAGGUGAAUGAGAGGAGUGGACAGCACCCAUUCCCAAAAGGAGUGCCACUCACACAGUAUCGCUUCUGGCUGUUGUCUGGCGUAGCCUGCAUAUAUUUCUGCUCCGUGAAAUCUGAAUCUGUUCAUGUGGUAACUCAUAGUAUACUCUCCCUUGUCCUCUCUAUGGCAUUGUUUUUAUUUUGGUUCGAAGGUGGAGGGAGGGGAGGAUCUUAAGCAUUAGACAGAUUGGUGUUGCAGGAGAUCCGUUGAUCAUGCAUUAGGGGAAGUUUUCUGUUAGGCUAAAGAGGAAUGCAUGAGGAGGAUAAGAGGGUGUUGUCCUGUUGUCAUUGUUGGAAGAACUGACAUUAUUGCUCCCAUCAACCUCACGUCCCACCAUGAUGCUGUACAUUUGUUACUCUUGGUGUCCCGGAUCCUUUGAUGUCACACCAAGCCUUGUGUUUUAUUAAUGGUCAUUUAAGAGUGUAAUGGUGGAUGUUGACUAGAAAUAUUUAGUAAAUGUUACAUGUUUUUGGUAGAAGGUACUUUUAUCAUCAUGCUGCUGCUGACAAACUUUCCCCUGACAAACUGUACAAUUACAGUUGACAGUUUAUGUUGAUGAAUGGACAAUAUUUUACUGACUCCAUAAGUAUAGUCAACGUAUUUCAGGCCAUUUAAAGGGGUAAUCUGCAGUUCAAACAAUAACAAAGUCUUUACCCCGCCACUUUUUCGAUAACCAGCUGAGUGAUGGGGUUGGCGAAAAGUAACCACUCAAAUUCCUAGACAGAGCUAUGGA